rnacentral:rRNA from 1 species
GAUGAACGCUGGCGGCGUGCCUAAUACAUGCAAGUCGAGCGAACGGACGAGAAGCUUGCUUCUCUGAUGUUAGCGGCGGACGGGUGAGUAACACGUGGAUAACCUACCUAUAAGACUGGGAUAACUUCGGGAAACCGGAGCUAAUACCGGAUAAUAUUUUGAACCGCAUGGUUCAAAAGUGAAAGACGGUCUUGCUGUCACUUAUAGAUGGAUCCGCGCUGCAUUAGCUAGUUGGUAAGGUAACGGCUUACCAAGGCAACGAUGCAUAGCCGACCUGAGAGAGUGAUCGGCCACACUGGAACUGAGACACGGUCCAGACUCCUACGGGAGGCAGCAGUAGGGAAUCUUCCGCAAUGGGCGAAAGCCUGACGGAGCAACGCCGCGUGAGUGAUGAAGGUCUUCGGAUCGUAAAACUCUGUUAUUAGGGAAGAACAUAUGUGUAAGUAACUGUGCACAUCUUGACGGUACCUAAUCAGAAAGCCACGGCUAACUACGCG